rnacentral:rRNA from 1 species
UACGUAGGUGGCAAGCGUUAUCCGGAUUUAUUGGGCGUAAAGGGAACGCAGGCGGUCUUUUAAGUCUGAUGUGAAAGCCUUCGGCUUAACCGGAGUAGUGCAUUGGAAACUGGGAGACUUGAGUGCAGAAGAGGAGAGUGGAACUCCAUGUGUAGCGGUGAAAUGCAUAGAUAUCACGCAGAACUCCGAUUGCGAAGGCAGCAUACCGGCGCCCGACUGACGCUGAAGCACGAAAGCGUGGGUAUCGAACAGG